UACGUAGGGUGCAAGCGUUGUCCGGAAUUAUUGGGCGUAAAGAGCUUGUAGGCGGUUUGUCGCGUCUGCUGUGAAAUUUCGGGGCUCAACCCCGAACUUGCAGUGGGUACGGGCAGACUAGAGUGUGGUAGGGGAGAUUGGAAUUCCUGGUGUAGCGGUGAAAUGCGCAGAUAUCGGGAGGAACACCAGUGGCGAAGGCGGCGCUCUGGGCCGGAACUGACGCUGAGGAGCGAAAGCGUGGGUAGCAAACAGG
rnacentral:rRNA from 1 species